CUCUUAUCUAGAGCGGUGGAGGGACUGGCCCUUUGAAACCGCGGCAACCUUCAUAAUUAAAUGAAAGGUGCCAAUUCCUGCAGAAAAUGAAAGAUGAGAG
rnacentral:ncRNA from 2 species